UACGUAGGGGGCUAGCGUUGUCCGGAAUCAUUGGGCGUAAAGAGCGUGUAGGCGGCCCGGUAAGUCCGCUGUGAAAGUCGGGGGCUCAACCCUCGAAUGCCGGUGGAUACUGUCGGGCUAGAGUGCGGAAGAGGCGAGUGGAAUUCCUGGUGUAGCGGUGAAAUGCGCAGAUAUCAGGAGGAACACCGGUGGCGAAGGCGGGUCUCUGGGCCGAUACUGACGCUGAGGAGCGAAAGCGUGGGGAGCAAACAGG
rnacentral:rRNA from 1 species